ensembl:lncRNA
CCCCCGCCCUCCUCCCUCCUCCUCUACGGUUUUGGGCUAAUCAUUCUAACCUUUUAGUUUUUAGCUACUCAUUCUUACCAAGUUUAGUUUUGUAAAAUAUGGCGACUGGAUACGAGAUUGUUCAGACCCUGAAUAAGAAGAGGUUCCCAAACAAGUUCGAGAAUUUAGGGUACAACAGGACGUUUCUGAAUGGCGUAAUUGUGCCAAGUGUAAGCAAAUGCCUACAGAGCCUGAGAAUGGAUGCUGCAGGGAGAUGCCACAGGUAACAAGAAGACUACUGCAGCUUCCAAACCAACCAACGUGCAUCAUCCGGGACUUUUAGCUGUGUGAUUGAAUGUGUUCUCACUAAAGAAUGCAUUCAACAUCUAUAGAGCAGACUAUGGGCCUUAUGUCUAAGGGGAAUAUAGCAACGUUACAGGUAUUUGGUGUACAGAAGCUUUGUUAGCAGGUCUUGGGGCUUUCUGGGACGGAGAAUCUGGGUGGUCCUGCUCUUCUGCUCCAGAUGGUGCUUUGGAGGAUCUGUCUGACAGGCCACAUGAUGUAGCCUAGGACACUGUUCAGAUGUUCUUCCUUAACCACAAGAGCAGCAAUGUUAUUCAUGUUUUUUCCUGAAUGUAAUAAAAGGAAAAUACUCCAUACUGUAAA